CCUUUGAUUGAAAAGCGGAACAAGUGCAGCGACACCAAGGGGAGGAUCCGGGAACCAGUCUAGUGUGACUGGCAACAAAAUACGACAAAUUACGUCAUAGGAAGGGAGACACGGGUGACCCAGUCGUCUAGGUGCCGCAGUUCACUGUAGAGAAAUGCAUACCAGAAACCCAACAUCGUGGGCUCCAAUCCCAGAUUCGUCCUGAUCAUAUUUCCAGGACACAUUCAAACAACUUGAACCUAACGAUGACCUACAGGAUCAGGGACAGGAAGAGUCUUUUGGGAGACGGGGGCCUG